rnacentral:lncRNA from 1 species
UGAAUGAAAGAAAGACUCUUUCUUGAAAGGUGAAGAGGGUAUCUGAGUUGCAUUUUUUUAGGGGACUAAUAUCCAAUGCAUUUUAACCAACAAUGGAUUUGUAUUUCACUUACAAGUGAACACAUUUGAAACAAAUUCUCAAGAUGUUUUUAAUAUUAAUAAAGCUUUUUAAAAAUAGUUUAUUAGCCAUAGAAGAUCCAAGAAAGAAAAGAACAGCUUAUUUUGCAAAAUUACAGAAUAACAGGAUUUUUUUUUCACUUCAUGUAAGUUGAUAAAUGUAGCUGUAACAGAUCCAGAAUGUCUGAACUACCCACAAAGAAAACAAUAAAUUAGAGGAAACAUUAGACCAUAUCAAAUUAAUAGAAGAAUAAAAUUAGUAACUCUCGAGUGAAAGGAUAUAGGGACAGAGAGAUUUAAAAAAAACCUGAUGGUUAAUUAAAAAAUAUAAUGCCACUUUGUAUGAUAAAUGUAAUAAUGAAAAUAUUGCAAGAAGUGAACCACCAUGGGGAUCUACAUAGGCGAUCUAUAGCCCAAAUCAGAGAGGGGGAGGACUGGGUAUAUAGGGGCAAUGGAAGGAGACAUGUCGGUUUACAUGAUUUGUAAUUUAUACCGUAUGAAACAAAAUUUUGUUUUGAUUUUUGUUCACUAUAGGUAAGUAGAGACAUGAAUUUUGUAAGUAAUUUUGAGUAACAUGAACAUUAGAAGAGAUGACAGCUGCCGGGGUAUCUGAGAAAGAGGAUGCUUUGCAUAUUUGUCAUGUGGCAAAUCACAGGAUCACAGAAUAACGCAUAGGUUUUGACUGAGUAGCAGUCUCUGGUGUGUCUGUGUGUCUGUGCAUGUGCGUGUGUGUGUGUGUUUGUGUCGGUCUGUGUGUCUGUGUGUGUCUGUCUGUGUGUACACGUGCGUUCACACCAUGUUUUCUUUCAAAUAAAAUAUGCUUAUUUGAAACAAUAUCCUCUUAACAACUAAUUUAUGUCUAAUAAUGGUUAUUGACUUUAUGUGAGGACAAUUUUAAAAAUGAAUGGAACUAGAAAAUAUCAUCCUGAGUGAGGUAACUCAGACCCAAAAGGACAUGCAUGGUAUGUACUCACUAAUAAAUGGUUAUUAGCCAAAAUAAUAAAAAAUAAAAAAUAAAAUAAAAACUAAAAAAAAAAAUGCCAAAUACCCAAGAUUCAGCCCACGGAACUCAAAAAGAUCAACAAGCUGAAGGGCCCUGCCUCAGUCCCACUUGGGAAGGAGAAGAAAUCAACCACAAGGCAGAAGGGAGGGAGGCAGGCAAAGGGGUUGAGGGAUGGGCAGAGAGGGAACAUGAUCAGGUAUUGGGUGUGGGAAAAGGACUGAAAUACCUGAGGUCCAGCAGAAAGAAUGAAAACAUACAACCUCUGGAGGUAGGAGGGUGGAGGCACCCUCCAGAAUGUACCAGAGACUCAGGACUCAAAGGGAGGGACCUUAAAUGAAAUGCCCUAAAUUGGGGAGAGGG